AUUGAACGCUGGCGGCAGGCCUAACACAUGCAAGUCGAACGGUAGCACAGAGAGCUUGCUCUCGGGUGACGAGUGGCGGACGGGUGAGUAAUGUCUGGGAAACUGCCCGAUGGAGGGGGAUAACUACUGGAAACGGUAGCUAAUACCGCAUAACGUCGCAAGACCAAAGAGGGGGACCUUCGGGCCUCUUGCCAUCGGAUGUGCCCAGAUGGGAUUAGCUUGUAGGUGAGGUAACGGCUCACCUAGGCGACGAUCCCUAGCUGGUCUGAGAGGAUGACCAGCCACACUGGAACUGAGACACGGUCCAGACUCCUACGGGAGGCAGCAGUGGGGAAUAUUGCACAAUGGGCGCAAGCCUGAUGCAGCCAUGCCGCGUGUAUGAAGAAGGCCUUCGGGUUGUAAAGUACUUUCAGCGGGGAGGAAGGGAGUGAGGUUAAUAACCUCAUUCAUUGACGUUACCCGCAGAAGAAGCACCGGCUAAUUCCGUGCCAGCAGCCGCGGUAAUACGGAGGGUGCGAGCGUUAAUCGGAAUUACUGGGCGUAAAGCGCACGCAGGCGGUCUGUCAAGUCGGAUGUGAAAUCCCCGGGCUCAACCUGGGAACUGCAUUCGAAACUGGCAGGCUGGAGUCUUGUAGAGGGGGGUAGAAUUCCAGGUGUAGCGGUGAAAUGCGUAGAGAUCUGGAGGAAUACCGGUGGCGAAGGCGGCCCCCUGGACAAAGACUGACGCUCAGGUGCGAAAGCGUGGGGAGCAAACAGGAUUAGAUACCCUGGUAGUCCACGCUGUAAACGAUGUCGACUUGGAGGUUGUUCCCUUGAGGAGUGGCUUCCGGAGCUAACGCGUUAAGUCGACCGCCCGGGGAGUACGGCCGCAAGGUUAAAACUCAAAUGAAUUGACGGGGGCCCGCACAAGCGGUGGAGCAUGUGGUUUAAUUCGAUGCAACGCGAAGAACCUUACCUACUCUUGACAUCCAGAGAACUUAGCAGAGAUGCUUUGGUGCCUUCGGGAACUCUGAGACAGGUGCUGCAUGGCUGUCGUCAGCUCGUGUUGUGAAAUGUUGGGUUAAGUCCCGCAACGAGCGCAACCCUUAUCCUUUGUUGCCAGCGAUUCGGUCGGGAACUCAAAGGAGACUGCCAGUGAUAAACUGGAGGAAGGUGGGGAUGACGUCAAGUCAUCAUGGCCCUUACGAGUAGGGCUACACACGUGCUACAAUGGCAUAUACAAAGAGAAGCGACCUCGCGAGAGCAAGCGGACCUCAUAAAGUAUGUCGUAGUCCGGAUUGGAGUCUGCAACUCGACUCCAUGAAGUCGGAAUCGCUAGUAAUCGUGGAUCAGAAUGCCACGGUGAAUACGUUCCCGGGCCU
rnacentral:rRNA from 1 species